rnacentral:rRNA from 1 species
UACGUAGGGUGCGAGCGUUAAUCGGAAUUACUGGGCGUAAAGUGUGCGCAGGCGGCUUCGCAAGUCGAGUGUGAAAUCCCCGAGCUUAACUUGGGAAUUGCGCUCGAAACUACGGAGCUGGAGUGUGGCAGAGGAAGGUGGAAUUCCACGUGUAGCGGUGAAAUGCGUAGAGAUGUGGAGGAAUACCGAUGGCGAAGGCAGCCCCCUGGGUCAAUACUGACGCUCAUGCACGAAAGCGUGGGGAGCAAACAGG